GACGAACGCUGGCGGCGUGCCUAAUACAUGCAAGUUGAGCGCUGAAGGUUGGUACUUGUACCAACUGGAUGAGCAGCGAACGGGUGAGUAACGCGUGGGGAAUCUGCCUUUGAGCGGGGGACAACAUUUGGAAACGAAUGCUAAUACCGCAUAAAAACUCUAAACACAAGUUUUAAGUUUGAAAGAUGCAAUUGCAUCACUCAAAGAUGAUCCCGCGUUGUAUUAGCUAGUUGGUGAGGUAAAGGCUCACCAAGGCGAGGAUACAUAGCCGACCUGAGAGGGUGAUCGGCCACAUUGGGACUGAGACACGGCCCAAACUCCUACGGGAGGCAGCAGUAGGGAAUCUUCGGCAAUGGACGAAAGUCUGACCGAGCAACGCCGCGUGAGUGAAGAAGGUUUUCGGAUCGUAAAACUCUGUUGGUAGAGAAGAACGUUGGUGAGAGUGGAAAGCUCAUCAAGUGACGGUAACUACCCAGAAAGGGACGGCUAACUACGUG
rnacentral:rRNA from 1 species